rnacentral:rRNA from 1 species
UGAUCAUGGCUCAGAUUGAACGCUGGCGGUAUGCUUAACACAUGCAAGUCGAACGGUAACAGGCCUUCGGGCGCUGACGAGUGGCGGACGGGGGCGUAACGCGUAGGAAUCUACCUCGUAGUGGGGGACAACUUGGGGAAACUCAAGCUAAUACCGAAUACGCCCUACGGGGGAAAGCGGGGGACCUUCGGGCCUCGCGCUAUUCGAUGAGCCUGCGUUGGAUUAGCUAGUUGGUAGGGUAAAGGCCUACCAAGGCGACGAUCCAUAGCUGGUCUGAGAGGACGAUCAGCCACACUGGGACUGAGACACGGCUCAGACUCCUACGGGAGGCAGCAGUGGGGAAUAUUGGACAAUGGGCGCAAGCCUGAUCCAGCAAUACCGCCUGUGUGAAGAAGGCCUUAGGGUUGUAAAGCACUUUUCAGUAGGGAGGAACGAUGAGAUUAAUACUCUCGUCCACUGACGUUACCUACAGAAGAAGCACCGGCUAACUCCGUGCCAGCAGCCGCGGUAAUACGGAGGGUGCAAGCGUUAAUCGGAAUUACUGGGCGUAAAGCGUACGCAGGCGGUUGAAUAAGUUGGAUGUGAAAGCCCUUGGCUCAACCUAGGAACUGCAUUCAAAACUGUCAGGCUAGAGUAUGGUAGAGGAUAGUGGAAUUUCCGGUGUAGCGGUGAAAUGCGUAGAGAUCGGAAGGAACAUCAGUGGCGAAGGCGGCUAUCUGGACCAAUACUGACGCUGAGGUGCGAAAGCGUGGGGAGCAAACAGGAUUAGAUAUCCUGGUAGUCCACGCCGUAAACGAUGUCAACUAGCCGUUGGGGGGGCUUGUCCCCUUAGUGGCGCAGCUAACGCGAUAAGUUGACCGCCUGGGGAGUACGGCCGCAAGGUUAAAACUCAAAUGAAUUGACGGGGGCCCGCACAAGCGGUGGAGCAUGUGGUUUAAUUCGAUGCAACGCGAAGAACCUUACCAUCCCUUGACAUCCAGAGAAUCACCUAGAGAUAGACGAGUGCCUUCGGGAACUCUGAGACAGGUGCUGCAUGGCUGUCGUCAGCUCGUGUUGUGAAAUGUUGGGUUAAGUCCCGCAACGAGCGCAACCCUUAUCCUUAGUUACCAGCGAUUCGGUCGGGGACUCUAAGGAGACUGCCGGUGACAAACCGGAGGAAGGUGGGGACGACGUCAAGUCAUCAUGGCCCUUAUGGGCAGGGCUACACACGUGCUACAAUGGCCGGUACAGAGGGUUGCCAAACCGCGAGGUGGAGCUAAUCCCAGAAAGCCGGUCGUAGUUCGGAUUGGAGUCUGCAACUCGACUCCAUGAAGCCGGAAUCGCUAGUAAUCGCGAAUCAGAAUGUCGCGGUGAAUACGUUCCCGGGCCUUGUACACACCGCCCGUCACACCAUGGGAGUGGGUUGCAAAAGAAGUGGGUAGACUAACCUUCGGGGGGUCGCUCACCACUUUGUGAUUCAUGACUGGGGUGAAGUCGUAACAAGGUAGCCCUUGGGGAACCUGGGGCUGGAUCACCU